UACGGAGGAUGCGAGCGUUAUCCGGAUUCAUUGGGUUUAAAGGGUGCGUAGGCGGCUUCUUAAGUCAGUGGUGAAAUCCUGCGGCUCAACCGUAGAACUGCCAU
rnacentral:rRNA from 1 species